GACGAACGCUGGCGGCGUGCUUAACACAUGCAAGUCGAACGGAAAGGCCCUGCUUUUGUGGGGUGCUCGAGUGGCGAACGGGUGAGUAACACGUGUGUAACCUGCCCUUGACUUUGGGAUAACUUCAGGAAACUGGGGCUAAUACCGGAUAGGAGCUCCUGCUGCAUGGUGGGGGUUGGAAAGUUUCGGCGGUUGGGGAUGGACUCGCUGGUUAUCAGCUUGUUGGUGGGGUAGUGGCUUACCAAGGCUUUGACGGGUAGCCGGCCUGAGAGGGUGAACGGCGACAAGGGGACUAAGAUACGGAGCAGACGGCAACGGGAGGCAGCAGUGGGGAAUAUUGCACAAUGGGCGGAAGCCUGAUGCAGAAACGCCGCGUGCGGGAUGACGGCCUUCGGGUUGUAAACAGCUUUCGAAUGUGACGAAGAGGGAGUGACGGUAAUGGGUAAAGAAGCACCGGCUAACUACGUG
rnacentral:rRNA from 1 species